rnacentral:rRNA from 1 species
AUUGAACGCUGGCGGCAGGCCUAACACAUGCAAGUCGAGCGGAUGAAGGGAGCUUGCUCCUGGAUUCAGCGGCGGACGGGUGAGUAAUGCCUAGGAAUCUGCCUGGUAGUGGGGGAUAACGUCCGGAAACGGGCGCUAAUACCGCAUACGUCCUGAGGGAGAAAGUGGGGGAUCUUCGGACCUCACGCUGUCAGAUGAGCCUAGGUCGGAUUAGCUAGUUGGUGGGGUAAAGGCCUACCAAGGCGACGAUCCGUAACUGGUCUGAGAGGAUGAUCAGUCACACUGGAACUGAGACACGGUCCAGACUCCUACGGGAGGCAGCAGUGGGGAAUAUUGGACAAUGGGCGAAAGCCUGAUCCAGCCAUGCCGCGUGUGUGAAGAAGGUCUUCGGAUUGUAAAGCACUUUAAGUUGGGAGGAAGGGCAGUAAGUUAAUACCUUGCUGUUUUGACGUUACCAACAGAAUAAGCACCGGCUAACUUCG